AGUGAACGCUGGCGGUAGGCCUAACACAUGCAAGUCGAACGGCAGCACAGUAAGAGCUUGCUCUUACGGGUGGCGAGUGGCGGACGGGUGAGGAAUACAUCGGAUUCUACUUUUUCGUGGGGGAUAACGUAGGGAAACUUACGCUAAUACCGCAUACGACCUACGGGUGAAAGCAGGGGAUCUUCGGACCUUGCGCGAUUGAAUGAGCCGAUGUCGGAUUAGCUAGUUGGCGGGGUAAAGGCCCACCAAGGCGACGAUCCGUAGCUGGUCUGAGAGGAUGAUCAGCCACACUGGAACUGAGACACGGUCCAGACUCCUACGGGAGGCAGCAGUGGGGAAUAUUGGACAAUGGGCGAAAGCCUGAUCCAGCCAUACCGCGUGGGUGAAGAAGGCCUUCGGGUUGUAAAGCCCUGUUGUUGGGAAAGAAAAGCAGCAGGUUAAUACCCCGCUGUUCUGACGGUACCCAAAGAAUAAGCACCGGCUAACUUCGUG
rnacentral:rRNA from 1 species